rfam:Exidia glandulosa HHB12029 unplaced genomic scaffold EXIGLscaffold_114, whole genome shotgun sequence.
UGUCCCCGUAUGAUGAUAUACUACGGAUGUAAAAGAGCUUUGCUCAAAUCGUCCGAGAGCGCAUACUCCCAUGUGGAUUUUUCCGUUGCCUUCCUUCUGAGCAU